AAUCGAGCCUCAGUGCACAUGGGAGGCCUAAAGCCGAGAAACCCACCCGGACACUUUGAGGACGUGCUUCUAGGAGCAGUAAUGAAGACUUGGCCGGCAUCUCACAUGAGUGGCAGAGUCAGGGUUCCAAUCAGGAUACUCAGAGCUGGAGCCCACCUAGUCGUGUCUCCAGUGGGUGCAGCCAACGGUGGGGCCUCGUCCUAAGAAGCCCUGGGGUCUUCGUGAAAGUGGGCAGAGGGUCAGUUCCCAGCGGAGGCCCCCAGGGCCCCAACUGUGGACCCUGGACCAUGCUCAGUGCACCUCUGAACCAGUUACAGCCCUGGGGAACCCUCGAGUCUGACUUUGGGCAACGCCUGGACCAGCUCGGGAGGUGGGUGGUAUGGGUAGACAUUGCCCACGUCCUUGUACUCAUCCUAUGCAAACUCAAGGAUGUAGAAACAGCACAGUGAGGUACCUGCCAGGAGGUGUGCGUGCCCCCUUAGCAGACCAGGCGCAGGGGCAUGUGCCCAGGGUUGUAUGGGGGUAGAGCUGAGCUCAUUUCGCAGUGGCCAGACCUGAGGGAGUGGAAAAUGCACGGCUCUCAGACAUCGCUGGGCCAGCCUGACCAUCACAUACAAGACAGACAUUCUCAGCCUGUGGAGCAGGUGGGUAGACUGAGGUGCAUUGGGCCACCAGGCCUUCCACCACCCUUCCAGCCUGACAUAAUUCACUCUUGGGGAGCAUGGUGACUGCUGUCAGCUAGGGCCCCAGGAAAAUGCACCGUCGCUCUCCCUCUUUGACCAGUCCACCAGGGCUGCAAAGCCAGCCUGGACAGGCGCUCGUCAAAGAGCAUCCCCACUGGGGGCUGGUCUCCUCUGCCUCUCCCCAAGGGGAGCAGGACUCCCAAGGAGCCCUUCCCUGUUUGGCAGUGUUGGCCUGGUUCCAUUGCUGGGGCCAAAGCCUGUUUCCAGCAUCAUGCAGUGGUGGGGGGGGUGGAGUGAGGGCAGUGCCUGUGCCUCACCGGCCUGACAUUUCCAAACAGGCUGGAUGCACUUCCUCAGCCAGCAGAGCAAGAGCUGUCAGAGGCUCCCCAGGCUCCGAAUGCCAGUGUGGUUGCCCAAGCGUGGCAGGGAGAGACCAAGCAGCCCCACCGGGCAUGGGCAUCAGGCAGGCUAAGUCAGGCAUGGUCAGCAGGGGGUGUUGUGGGGGCCCUGGGGCUGACCUCCCCAGCACCACCCACCCUGGGGAGGGUAAGCUCCCAUCCAUGUGACGGGGCCAGCUGGCCUCCUGGCUGAGAGCUAGAGGGCGCAACCCACAGUCACCCCCCACCCCACGGCAAACAUCUGGCUACACAGCUGGGGGCAGGGGAGGGGGCCAUAAACCUUCCUGGUCCUGGCCCUCCCCACCCUUGUACAUGAAGCCCAGAGCAGCCCACGUGGCUCGAGAAUCAAAGCCACAACCACCGAAGGAGACUUCAGCAGCUGGUUUGAGAGAGAUUCUCCCAAUGCCAAUGCCAAGCUCCAGCCUAUAGAGUCAGCCAGCGGGUCACCCUGCUGGCCCCUCAGCCUCAGUGUGGAAGGAGCCACGAGGGAGGGUCUGUACCCCUUAUCCCUGAGGUUAACGCACCCGGAGGGUCUGGGCCACCAGCACAGGCAUCCAGCAUAGAAAACCAAAUUAACAGCCUGGCACUGACCAGGAGGCGUAAUGGAUAUGAGAUGACACUGGGCCUCUGAUUCUGCCUCGUCGCUGUCAGACCCAGUGAAGGCGGCCAUGGGGUCACCGGGGCCAGCGGCACCACUCAUUAGAACAUAAGACAGUACUCAACUGUGAUAACAGGGCUGAGGAAAAAAAUGGGCCUUUUUCUUUCCGGAAUGAAGGAUUUCAAUACGAAACGUUGGAGAUUCUGUUGCUAAACCGAUUCUGCCAGUGACGACGCUGAAGCUAGUGGCUUGCUUCAGGUCCCCAGGAGAACAGGACCCCCAGACCCCUGGGAGGAACUGACCCUGUGACCCCUGGAAGGAUCCAACUCCAGGAGGUCACCCAGUGACACCGGGCCAAGUGACUUCCAGGCUAUGUGACUGAACCCCCACAUGCCCACCCCUAUUAGUCACCCUUUGCAGUCCAGGAAGACAAAAGGCCAAAUCAACAGGUUCUCUCGAGUGACCCAAUGCAGACACGUUGCCAGCUCCGGUGUGUCCUGGACCCAGGAGGAAAUCCAGAGCAAUGGGUCACCAGGCUGCAGUGGCUGCUGAGGGUGAGCCCAGGGCACUGCCAAGGAGACUGGGCCAGGUGGGCAGGUCAAGGGUCUCUCCACAGUGGAGUCCCAAAGCCCUGACAAAACUGAGAGCCUGGGGAUGGCACCUGGUCCAUGAGGGAGGCACAGGCCCUGGUGGACCCCAGCAGAAGGCCAGGGCAAGGGGGUUACAGGGUCAGCUACUGCCUCAGGGCUCCAAAGGCAGGGCACUGCACACUGACUGCACAGUAGCUGGGUCAGGGGACAAGACUCAUACGGGCCAAGUUCAGGCCCACAGAGUGGGUACCAGCAGGGGCAGCCUCCAGUUUUUCUGCUUCGUGAUGGAUGGUCCAAGGGAUGUGGGCUCCCAGCAGGUGCAGGAAGAGAACGUCAGGAUGCAGAGGAGCUAGGUGGGUCCUGCACAUGAUGAGGGGGUGUCUGCACUGACAGGUGGCAGGCCUGAGUGUGAGGUGCUCCUGUCAAGGGCUAU